rnacentral:rRNA from 1 species
GAUGAACGCUGGCGGCGUGCCUAAUACAUGCAAGUCGAGCGAACUGAUUAGAAGCUUGCUUCUAUGACGUUAGCGGCGGACGGGUGAGUAACACGUGGGCAACCUGCCUGUAAGACUGGGAUAACUUCGGGAAACCGAAGCUAAUACCGGAUAGGAUCUUCUCCUUCAUGGGAGAUGAUUGGAAGAUGGUUUCGGCUAUCACUUACAGAUGGGCCCGCGGUGCAUUAGCUAGUUGGUGAGGUAACGGCUCACCAAGGCAACGAUGCAUAGCCGACCUGAGAGGGUGAUCGGCCACACUGGGACUGAGACACGGCCCAGACUCCUACGGGAGGCAGCAGUAGGGAAUCUUCCGCAAUGGACGAAAGUCUGACGGAGCAACGCCGCGUGAGUGAUGAAGGCUUUCGGGUCGUAAAACUCUGUUGUUAGGGAAGAACAAGUACGAGAGUAACUGCUCGUACCUUGACGGUACCUAACCAGAAAGCCACGGCUAACUACGUGCCAGCCGCCGCGGUAAGAC